GCAUAUCAAUAAGCGGAGGAAAAGAAACCAACAGGGAUUACCUCAGUAACGGCGAGUGAAGCGGUAACAGCUCAAAUUUGAAAUCUGGGUCUUUCAGGCUCCGAGUUGUAAUUUGUAGAAGAUGCUUUGGGUGCGGCCCCGGUCUAAGUUCCUUGGAACAGGACGUCAUAGAGGGUGAGAAUCCCGUAUGUGAUCGGUGGCCUGCGCCCGUGUAAAGCUCUUUCGACGAGUCGGGUUGUUUGGGAAUGCAGCUCUAAAUGGGUGGUAAAUUUCAUCUAAAGCUAAAUAUUGGCCAGAGACCGAUAGCGCACAAGUAGAGUGAUCGAAAGAUGAAAAGCACUUUGGAAAGAGAGUUAAACAGUACGUGAAAUUGUUGAAAGGGAAGCGCUUGCAACCAGACUUGCGCGGGGUUGAUCAUCCGGGGUUCUCCCCGGUGCACUCGGCCUCGCUCAGGCCAGCAUCGGUUUCGGUGGUUGGAUAAAGGCCUUGGGAAUGUGACUCCUUUCGGGGAGUGUUAUAGCCCUCGGUGCAAUGCAGCCUACCGGGACCGAGGACCGCGCUUCGGCUAGGAUGCUGGCGUAAUGGUUGUAAGCGACCCGUCUUGAAACACGGACC
rnacentral:rRNA from 1 species